rnacentral:rRNA from 1 species
CCUACGGGGGGCUGCAGUAAGGAAUAUUGGUCAAUGGACGAAAGUCUGAACCAGCCAUCCCGCGUGCAGGAUGAAAGCCCUAUGGGUUGUAAACUGCUUUUAGCAGAGAAGAAAAGCUUCCAUUUAUGGGGGUCUGACGGUAUCUGCAGAAUAAGCACCGGCUAACUCCGUGCCAGCAGCCGCGGUAAUACGGAGGGUGCGGGCGUUAUUGGGUUUUACUGGGUUGAAGGGGGGGUAAUAAGUCAGUGGUGAAAUCUUGUCGCUUAACGAUAAAAUUGCCAAUGAUACUAGUACUCUUGAAUUGGGUUGAGGUUAGCGGAAUGUGACAUGUAGCGGUGAAAUGCAUAGAUAUGUCAUGGAACACCAAUUGCGAAGGCAGCUAACUGGGCCUUGAUUGACGCUGAGGCACGAAAGCGUGGGUAGCGAACAGGAUUAGAUACCCCGGUAGUC